ACAGAGGAGUGAUAUGCUCUGAUUUUCAUUUUGGAAGACACACUCUGGCUGUUGGGGGAGGAGACUGUAGAAGCAAGGAGGCUGAUUAUGAGGCAGUAGCAGCAAAUCCUGCAAGAGGUGAUGGUGGCCUGGAGGUGGUGAGAAGCUGGAUUCUGAGUAUACUUUGAAGGGAGAGCCGGCAAGAGGUCCUCACAUGCUGCACGUGGAAUGUGAGAGAAAAGCAGGAGUCAGAGAUGACCCCAAGGUUUUCAGCCUGAAGAAACAACCCUUCAUCCUCACCCUGAAUCCUGGAGGAAAGUGAUGCACUAAUAACAGGGGCAUCCAAGUCCUGGGCAAUGGAUUGGAAGGUCCACCCUGCACCCACCCCUGACAACUCUACCUCUUCUCCCAGUCUCCCAUUUCUUUGGAAAUGGAAGGGAAGGGGAAACCAAAGUAGAAGUUCAAAAAAGUCUAUCGUUAUCUUAUUCCUACUCUGAUGGGAAGGAGGAAAUUCAAACCACAGAAGAAUCAAACCACUGCUCUUCCCAUCUUGGGACUUCCCACUGAAGAGCACCCCAUGUUGGAUGAACAGGUCCCAUGUUCCUUUUUACUAUUGAAGAAAAGUAGUCAAUGA